UACCCGCUGACGAGCGGCGGACGGGUGAGUAAUGCAUAGGAAUCUGCCCGAUAGUGGGGGAUAACCUGGGGAAACCCAGGCUAAUACCGCAUACGUCCUACGGGAGAAAGGGGGCUUCGGCUCCCGCUAUUGGAUGAGCCUAUGUCGGAUUAGCUAGUUGGUGAGGUAAUGGCUCACCAAGGCAACGAUCCGUAGCUGGUCUGAGAGGAUGAUCAGCCACAUCGGGACUGAAACACGGCCCGAACUCCUACGGGAGGCAGCAGUGGGGAAUAUUGGACAAUGGGGGCAACCCUGAUCCAGCCAUGCCGCGUGUGUGAAGAAGGCCCUCGGGUUGUAAAGCACUUUCAGCGAGGAAAAACGCCUAUCGGUUAAUACCCGGUAGGAAGGACAUCACUCGCAAAAAAAGCACCGGCUAACUCCGUGCCAGCAGGCGCGGUAAUACGGAGGGUGCAAGCGUUAAUCGGGAUUACUGGGCGUAAAGCGCGCGUAACGUGGCUUGAUAACCCGGUUGUGAAAGCCCCGGUCUCACCUUGGGAACGGCACUCCGGAACUGUCAGGCUAAAGUGCAGGAAAUGAAGGUAGAAUUCCUCGGUGUAGCGGUGAAAUGCGUAGACAUCGGGUAGGAAUACGAACUGCCAAGGCAGCCCUUCCGUGCUGACUCUGACCCUGAUGUGCCCUAGCGGUGGGUAGCCAACCCGAAUAGAUACCCUGGCAGUCGACGCUCCUACCCGAUGUCUACCCGUCUCUGGGGUGCCUCCGGGCACUU
rnacentral:rRNA from 1 species